rnacentral:sRNA from 1 species
AGGGAGUGUGGCACUGAGCCGGCUCAGGCAGAGACGCGGCACCAUGGCUAGCAAGAAAGUCUGCAUUGUAGGCUCCGGGAACUGGGGCUCAGCCAUCGCCAAGAUCGUGGGUGGCAAUGCAGCCCAGCUGGCACAGUUUGACCCACGGGUGACCAUGUGGGUAUUUGAGGAAGACAUUGGAGGCAAAAAGCUGACUGAGAUCAUCAACACGCAGCAUGAGAAUGUCAAAUACCUGCCAGGGCACAAGUUGCCCCCAAAUGUGGUGGCUGUCCCAGAUGUGGUCCAGGCUGCAGAGGAUGCUGACAUCCUGAUCUUUGUGGUGCCCCAUCAGUUCAUCGGCAAGAUCUGUGACCAGCUCAAGGGCCAUCUGAAGGCAAACGCCACUGGCAUAUCUCUUAUUAAGGGGGUAGACGAGGGCCCCAAUGGGCUGAAGCUCAUCUCGGAAGUGAUUGGGGAGCGCCUCGGCAUCCCCAUGAGUGUGCUGAUGGGGGCCAACAUUGCCAGCGAGGUGGCUGAUGAGAAGUUCUGUGAGACAACCAUUGGCUGCAAGGACCCGGCCCAGGGACAACUCCUGAAAGAGCUGAUGCAGACACCAAACUUCCGUAUCACAGUGGUGCAAGAGGUGGACACAGUAGAGAUCUGUGGAGCCUUAAAGUCCAUUGAGCAGCUGGAGAAAGAGUUGCUGAAUGGGCAGAAACUGCAGGGGCCCGAGACAGCCCGGGAGCUACACAGCAUCCUCC